UUACAGCAAGGUCGAGCGAAUGGAUUAAGAGCUUGCUCUUAUGAAGUUAGCGGCGGACGGGUGAGUAACACGUGGGUAACCUGCCCAUAAGACUGGGAUAACUCCGGGAAACCGGGGCUAAUACCGGAUAACAUUUUGAACCGCAUGGUUCGAAAUUGAAAGGCGGCUUCGGCUGUCACUUAUGGAUGGACCCGCGUCGCAAUANCUAGUUGGUGAGGUAACGGCUCACCAAGGCAACGAUGCGUACCCNACCUGAGAGGGUGAUCGGCCACACUGGGACUGAGACACGGCCCAGACUCCUACGGGAGGCAGCAGUAGGGAAUCUUCCGCAAUGGACGAAAGUCUGACGGAGCAACGCCGCGUGAGUGAUGAAGGCUUUCGGGUCGUAAAACUCUGUUGUUAGGGAAGAACAAGUGCUAGUUGAAUAAGCUGGCACCUUGACGGUACCUAACCAGAAAGCCACGGCUAACUACGUGCCAGCAGCCGCGGUAAUACGUAGGUGGCAAGCGUUAUCCGGAAUUAUUGGGCGUAAAGCGCGCGCAGGUGGUUUCUUAAGUCUGAUGUGAAAGCCCACGGCUCAACCGUGGAGGGUCAUUGGAAACUGGGAGACUUGAGUGCAGAAGAGGAAAGUGGAAUUCCAUGUGUAGCGGUGAAAUGCGUAGAGAUAUGGAGGAACACCAGUGGCGAACGCGACUUUCUGGUCUGUAACUGACACUGAGGCGCGAAAGCGUGGGGAGCAAACAAGAUUAUAUACCCUGGUAGUCCACGCCGUACACGAUGAGUGCUAAGUGUUAGAGGGUUUCCGCCCUUUAGUGCUGAAGUUAACGCAUUAAGCACUCCGCCUGGGGAGUACGGCCGCAAGGCUGAAACUCAGAGGGAAUUGACGGGGGCCCGCACAAGCGGUGGAGCAUGUGGUUUUAUUCGAAGCCACGCGAAGAACCUUACCNGGUCUUGACAUCCCUCUGACAACCCUAGAGAUAGGGCUUCNUCUUCGGGG
rnacentral:rRNA from 1 species